UACGAAGGGGGCUAGCGUUGCUCGGAAUGACUGGGCGUAAAGGGCGCGUAGGCGGAUUAGUUUGUCGGGUGUGAAAUUCCUGGGCUUAACCUGGGGUGUGCAUUCGAGACGGCUGGUCUUGAGUUUGGCAGAGGGUCGUGGAAUUCCCAGUGUAGAGGUGAAAUUCGUAGAUAUUGGGAAGAACACCGGUGGCGAAGGCGGCGACCUGGUCCAUGACUGACGCUGAUGCGCGAAAGCGUGGGGAGCAAACAGG
rnacentral:rRNA from 1 species